GGCUAAGAUAAUGGGGAUGCUGCGUGCUGCGGGCAGUGGCAUUUGGAGGGGGAACGGCCGGGAGAGGAACCGGAGGGUCAUUCGUGUCCAGUGUCUGUGCCGUGAGGCACCUGGCACGGCGCAUCCAAGCUCCGGCAUGCCAGCCGCGCUGCGGGGAUGGCACGGUGCCACGAGGACGCGGUUAGACGUCUCGAAUUGAAGCAAACGUCUGCUGUUGAGCCGUGGGAUCUUGCCACGUGUCCGGGUGCUCUGUCCCGCAGGCAGGUCCGCCGGCUGGAGUUCAACCAGGCCAUGGAGGACUUCAAAACCAUGUUCCCCAACAUGGACUACGACAUCAUCGAGUGCGUCUUGAGGGCCAACAACGGCGCCGUGGACGCCACCAUUGACCAGCUCCUGCAGAUGAACCUGGACAGCAGCGGCUGCGACGACAGCUCGGAUUCGGAGGACAGCAUCCCCCCCGAGAUCUUGGAGCGGACCCUGGAGCCAGACAGCUCGGAUGAGGAGCCCCCUCCCGUCUACUCCCCUCCCGCCUACGAGAGCCAGGAGUUUGGCAACCGCUACCCCCGCGCGCCACCCACCCCACCGCCCAGGACAGACGUGCCGGGACCCGGCAGCACUCCAGCGCCCGGGCGCUACAGGAACUGGAACCCACCGCUCCUGGGCAACCUCCCCGAAGACUUCCUCCGCAUCCUUCCCCAGCAGACCACUGGCACACAGGGCUCCCACAGCUGCCGGCAGCCCGUGCCGCGGGGGCUCGCCCCGCGGGGUCAGGGCUCCCUGGAGCAGGAGCGGCGGUGGAAGCAGUACCUGGAAGACGAGCGGAUCGCGCUCUUCCUGCAGAAUGAAGAGUUCAUGAAGGAGCUCCAGAGGAAUCGGGAUUUCCUCCUCGCCCUGGAGAGAGAUCGAUUGAAAUAUGAGUCAAAAAAAUCCAAGUCGACCAGCGUUGCUGUCAGCAACGACUUUGGUUUCUCCUCCGUAAUAUCAGGUGACGUAGCCCCCUCUGUAACCAGCGAGGCCGGCGGUGCCGUGUCUGACGAUGCCUUAUUCAGAGACAAAUUGAAACACAUGGGAAAAUCCACGCGCAAGAAGCUGUUUGAACUCGCCAGAGCCUUCUCCGAGAAGACGAAGAUGAGGAAAUCAAAAAGAAAACACUUGUUGAAGCACCAGGUGCUGGGAACGGCGGCUUCCACGGCAAAUCUUCUCGACGAUGUCGAAGGACAUUCAUGCGAUGAAGACUUCCAAGCGCGGAGGCAGCAGCUCCGGGAGGAGGAGGAGACGCCGAAGGAAGGGCAGUAAACGGUCCCAGCACUGGGGUUUAUUGCUGGCACAGAACGUGCACAAGGCUUCAUAAGAAGAUGGCUGAAAAAGGAAAAAAAACACCCAACAAACAACCCAGUUUUUUGGCUGUUCCCCCUCUGCUGUUGUACUCCUCUGAAGUACAAGUAUUGAAGUGAGGCACAAUGUUUUCUUACCAGUGGUUUGAAAACAACUUCUAUCUAGCAAAUCAGCCAAAAAGGAAAAAAAAAAAGGAAAAAAAAGUUCGGCAGCUGAUGUGAGCGGCUCUGGAAGAGCCAGAGGAGCUCAGACUUGGGAGGAGCAGCGUCCCGCCUGCUCUCUCGGUCUGAGCGGCGUCGCAGAAGGAAUGAAAAUCAGUUGUACUAACGAGGAUGCAUUCACAUGUGGGAUCUGCUUGGCUGGAGCACUCCUGAACAUAUCUCUGUAGCAAUCUGAUGUAACUUUACUCUGCGCACACAGGAAAAAAACCACCGCGUGAGAAAGAGAACCUAACAGCUGUUGUCUACUAUUGCUAGGAGUAAUAAGCAGAGAUUCAGAUCAGGUAAUAGUCAAAUAAUAUAAAUUGUUUAUAAAAAGGAAAGGCCUUCUUUUCGUAGGCGUUUCACUUUGAAUUAAACCUUUGCCUUCGGCAUUGCUAAAACUGCCUUGAAGUACGGACGCUUUGUGCCGCCACGGGGCAGCACCAAGGGCUGGAUUUCGCAUCAGUUUAACCCUCACUGCCGAAGCAGGACACGUCCCACCGGGUGCAGCGUGCCGGUGGUGGUCCCGGCUGCCGGGCAGGGCGCUCGGUGGCUCCAGAGAUGCCCCCCCGCCGUAGGAGGUGGCUAUAGACGUGCCUGUUUCACUUUCUGGCUCCCGCGAACCAGCACAAAUGUUGCAAGAUCGGAGCUGCGAAGGCGGCAGACGCAGAAACCCCAGCCAUCAAACACACACGCAACUGUUUUCCCUGCCUCUCCGCGGGGUUUGGUAACAAAAGCCCACAUUGCAGGCGCUGGCUCCCGACAGGCUCCUUUUCAAACCCGCCCGGAGCCUGCAUGCCUUUGAAGCGGACGCCAAGAUUUCUUUCCCGGCGAGCGGUGCAGCCGGUGCACCUGUUGAGCGCCGCUGCCGUCGCCCUCGCAGCCGCGGUGGGGAUCGGUGGGCACCCGCGUGUUUUGCCUUUUCCCUGGUCCCUGGCCACGGCCGGGGGUGCUUCAGGGUGUCGGGGGCUGCAGGGUCUGGGUAAUGUCCCGUUAGCACAACGGAAGCGUCGCUGGCAGCACCGGGGCUUGGCCAAAGCCCGGGGUGCUGAUGGCGAGGGUGGGAUGUGCAGGGCUGGAAGCACCCCAAGACGCCAGCGAGCUUUGGGCUCCUAAAAUCAAGGCAGCAGAAGACCCAGCCCACCGAGCUGAUCGCAGCUUUGGUGUCCACUCCUUUUCUUUUGAAGGAAAAGAUUGAGGAGCACCGUGGCAGCCCAGCCAACGGGUUAGAGCCGUCCCAAGCCACGCUGGCCUUGCUUCGACGUGUGCAGGCUCUGAGCCUUCCCUGCUCCCUGUCGGGUGGAGGGAGGUGCUGGAGAGGCACGGCGUGAUUUGCACUGGGCUGCUCUGCACCAUGUGGGGUAAGAUGGGCGCCUGGAGGGACGCGUGUCCCUGCCUGGGUCGGGGCGCAAGCGUGGGGCCGCGGGCGCGAAGGACUAAGUGUGAAGCUGGGGCUUUGCCGCUGGGAACAGAAGGUCCUUUAGUCCCUGGGUGGGACUUUUAUUCCCAGCCUGAGACUGGUGGAGAGAGAGGAGGGGCUCCUUUCCUACCCUCCGCUGGCUCUGGGGUCCGUAGGAGGCUGCCGUUAUUCCCUCCCAGUCUAAAGCAGCUCUCUGCAUAUUUGGAAGAAAAUCAAGCUUGGAACCAGAUCAGCUUGUCAAUGUUCCAGCGCCUCUUAGCUACCGAGGGCUUAACUUUCAGCGAAGUUUCCAUGAACGCAGGAAGCACCGACAGGCAGUCGGGCAGGAGCUCAGGCUCUUGCAGGAAGGAAAUUCUGCUUCUCCCAGCCAAGGAGGUUGUUACUGGAGGGCUGGUCUGGUGCGUGGGGAGGAGAGGCAGCAAAGCACUUGUGCCCAGGUGCUUGCAGCUUGUCUUCCCGCUGCUGAGCCCCUGGAGGGUUUGCCGUGCUCCUCGUCCUCGCUGGAGGACGGGCUGCGUUGUGCCGUGGCUGCGGAGGAUCGCGUUGAGCUCUCUUUGGCAGUCUAGUGCUGGGCAAGCCACGUUUCGCAUCAUGUCACAGGUCAGUCCUGCUGGAACCGCUGGCUUUAAGUGGCGUUAGUGGUAAACGUCGCCGUUCCUCCUCUCCCAUCUGCUCAGCCUGCACGUUAGUUGACAUGUUGCCUCCGAGUCAUCUUUGUAACCCAGCCGUAGUUUGCUGGUGGAGAGGAGCCCGGAGACAGCAGGCUGCCUCUGUUUUUUGCUUUGGGCUGGUCUGGCCGAGCACAUCCCUGAGGUCUCCGGCAUCCUCUGCUCCCUGCGAUGCUACCAGGGACCUGACGGAGCCCGCACAGGGGAGCAGGGCUGCAGUCCUGCGAGAAAACAGGGAGAGGAAGGGCAGCUCGGGGGGCUGCGAGCUGGAGCGCAGGGGCCGUGGGGAGGGGACGGGUGUCAGCGUGCAACCUCCGCUCGCCGCACGUGGUGGGUGUGAACCCCCCCCCAAGCCUCGCCGGCUCUGUCUACCCUGCCAGCAAAGGUUUUGUGUUAGUUGGGUCUGGCAACGCGCGCUAAUCGUGAAGGGUCCCGGGCCAAGAGCGGGCACUGCAGCCGUGAGCACACAGGGUUGGGAGCGGGCUGGCAGCCUAUGCUUUGCAGGGGCUUGGGGAUGUCUUUGCUAAACGGUCUAACAACUUGCCCUUAAAUAUCCUAGGCUAGGCAAAGCCUCUCUGAAUGAUGUCACUCUGUAGCCAUUUCAAAAUAUCUUGGAGGCACAAAGCAUCGUUUUAAUGGAGGAUGAAGAGUGAUUGUUUUUUGUGUCCUUU